CCAAUGUUCCCAAAAAUCAGAGACAGAGGGGUCAAUAAAUAAUUAACUUGGUUGCCAAGGGAACAGCUUCCUGGGUGGACUGAAGACAGCCGCUGAGACAACCUUCACGUGUCUUGGCCAAUGAAGGCUGGAAGUAGACAGUGACCAGAUACACAUAAUUCCAUGUACAUCUUAGGACAAGGACUGAAUAGGUGGUUUUAGGGCCAAGGAAGCAAAUCAAU
rnacentral:lncRNA from 1 species